UAUAUUUUUAUAAUGGUUCAUGGUUUUUGAAUGUUUUAUUCAAAUAAUGUAAAAAAUAAAAUAGAUAUUGACAUGGAUUGAACAAAAGAUAUAUAUUAUUUUAUGUUGCAUAAACAAAUUGGCAAAAUAGAGAUGGAAGAUAAAAAUAUGGUCAAAGUAAUAAGAGUCUAUGGUGAAUGCCUAGGAGCUUUAAGGCGAAAAAGGUCGUGGUAAGCUGCGAAAAGCUUGGGGGAGAAGCAAACAUUUAUUGAUCCCAAGAUUACCGAAUGGAGUAAUCCAACUAGCAAGAUGCUAGUUAUCUAUUAUCUAAAUAAU
rnacentral:misc_RNA from 1 species